rnacentral:rRNA from 1 species
CCUACGGGAGGCAGCAGUGGGGAAUUUUGGACAAUGGGGGCAACCCUGAUCCAGCCAUGCCGCGUGAGUGAAGAAGGCCUUCGGGUUGUAAAGCUCUUUCGGCCGGGAAGAAAACGUAUGGGUUAAUACCCUGUGCGGAUGACGGUACCGGCAUAAGAAGCACCGGCUAACUACGUGCCAGCAGCCGCGGUAAUACGUAGGGUGCGAGCGUUAAUCGGAAUUACUGGGCGUAAAGCGUGCGCAGGCGGUUUUUUAAGACAGGCGUGAAAUCCCCGGGCUCAACCUGGGAACUGCGCUUGUGACUGGAAGGCUAGAGUACGGCAGAGGGGGGUGGAAUUCCACGUGUAGCAGUGAAAUGCGUAGAGAUGUGGAGGAACACAAUGGCGAAGGCAGCCCCUGGGUCGAUACUGACGCUCAUGCACGAAAGCGUGGGUAGCAAACAGGAUUAGAUACCUGGUAGUCCACGCCCUAAACGAUGUCGACUAGGUGUUGGAAGGGUAAAACCUUUUAGUACCGGAGCUAACGCGUGAAGUUGACCGCCUGGGGAGUACGGGCCGCAAGGUUAAAACUCAAAGGAAUUGACGGGGACCGCACAAGCGGUGGAUGAUGUGGAUUAAUUCGAUGCAACGCGAAAAACCUUACCUACCCUUGACAUGUCCAGGAGCCCUUAGAGAUUUGGGGUGUGCCCGAAAGGGAACCUGAACACAGGUGCUGCAUGGCUGUCGUCAGCUCGUGUCGUGAGAUGUUGGGUUAAGUCCCGCAACGAGCGCAACCCUUGUCGUUAAUUGCCAUCAUUUAGUUGGGCACUUUAGCGAGACUGCCGGUGACAAACCGGAGGAAGGUGGGGAUGACGUCAAGUCCUCAUGGCCCUAGGGUAGGGCUUCACACGUCAUACAAUGGUCGGUACAAAGGGUCGCCAACCCGCGAGGGGGAGCCAAUCCCAGAAAGCCGAUCGUAGUCCGGAUUGCAGGCUGCAACUCGCCUGCAUGAAGUCGGGAUCGCUAGUAAUCGUGGAUCAGCAUGUCACGGUCAGCUUCCCGGCCUUUACACACCCC